UGGAAGGCAUCAGUUUCCUUGUUGAUCAUGGAUUUGGAGGAGGCAAAGGGUACUAAAUAAGUCGGCCACCAAGAAUGAUAAAAGCCAACCUUUGGCUUCUGAAGAAAUAUACGACCGGCAACUAAGAGGAGAAUUGGAGAUUGCAGUCGCAAGAAGAGAAGAAAAAAAUAGAAGCAGAGUUAAGUCUUUUGAAUUAAUCUCCAUGAUUGGUUUUAUCAACUCUUUUAUUUCCAAUUCAAUUAUAUUAGGCUAAAUUUUCUAUUUGGUUGAGGGUGAAUUCAAA
rnacentral:lncRNA from 1 species